rnacentral:lncRNA from 1 species
UACCAUCUUCAACAGUGUCAGAAUAUCUCCAUACUGGUCGACAAACCCCUUCUGGUUACCACUGGUCAUAAGGUUGCUCAACUCAAUCAGAGACGUCAAAGGUUCACGGUGGAAGCUGUAGGAACAAGUCUUCCGCUUCAACUCUGGGACUGUUGCCAUCUCUAUCAGUGAACAAGCUCUGGAAUGUACCUGAGAAAUGAUAUGCAUGCAGGGAUUAGUUUUUUUUUUCUUUUUUUUUUCUUUUUUUCUUUUGCGUUUCUUUUGAAAAAUAAAUAUGCUAUGAUGCGAGUGAUGCAGACACGACUGGUUGGCUGUGUCUCUCAGAACACAGGAUCAAAACUUCGGCUUGAACUCGGAACCACAAAUUCAUCUGAAACCCAAAGUCAUCUGAGACCCCAAAAUUCUGAACCAAUAGUCACCAACAGGAUCACAAGUCACCAACAAGUCACCAAC